rnacentral:rRNA from 1 species
AACGAACGCUGGCGGCAGGCCUAACACAUGCAAGUCGAACGCUGUAGCAAUACAGAGUGGCGCACGGGUGCGUAACGCGUGGGAAUAUGCCCUUGACUACGGAACAACGUCGGGAAACUGACGCUAAUACCGUAUAAUGUCUUCGGACCAAAGAUUUAUCGGUCAAGGAUUAGCCCGCGUCUGAUUAGCUAGUUGGUGAGGUAACGGCUCACCAAGGCGACGAUCAGUAGCUGGUCUGAGAGAAUGAUCAGCCACACUGGGACUGAGACACGGCCCAGACACCUACGGGAGGCAGCAGUGAGGAAUAUUGGACAAUGGAGGCAACUCUGAUCCAGCCAUGCCGCGUGAGUGACGAAGGCCUUCGGGUUGUAAAGCUCUUUCAGAUGCGAAGAUAAUGACGGUAACAUCAGAAGAAGCCCCGGCUAAAUUCGUGCCAGCCGCCGCCGUAA